CCACCCCCUGGGAACCUGGAGCCUGAGCAGGAGAAAGGGAGUGGCUAGGUCCCCCAGAGCACCAGGCACCGAGAGCUGGGUGCCUUCUUCCAUCCAUCUCCCCAAAGAGAAGGGGGAAUUGGCCUGGACCCCAACGGCGCCUGCCCACACCUGGUACCUUCCUUGCUGGCAAGAGAGUCCAGAGCUGGCACCAGCCACAGUGGGGACAAAGCCACCCGGCAGCUACUGAAGCCACAGGGAGCUGAAGGCUGAGCCCCUGGGCGUGCUUCCUCUGCUCACUGCAAACCCCAGGCCGAAGCCCCUCCCUGACCAUACUGCCAGAUCUACAAACCAGGAACGCGGUCCUGGGUCCCAGCAGCUCUCUUCCUGCCACUGGGAUAAGGGAGAUGCAGUCUCCCACAGCAUCAGUGUAAUACGAUAAGGGAUGUUUGACCUUGGGCCCACCUGGAAGCCUGCUUUUCCUGACCCCAUUCUGAGCAGGGAGCCUGCUGCAACAGUUGGCCCACCCGUUGCUCCAGGGUGUGACCUUGGUCUGCCCCCUCCGUCUCAGAAAGAGAAUGCCCAGAAAGGCCUUGAGCACCUGCUACCUCCAUCACUCCUGAGCUGAGGCCCCAACACCCCACUGAUGGGCACACAGCCCCCCUGUAACCUCUCCGCUGAUGCUCACCGGUGCAGUGUCUAUCAAGGAGCUGACAAUACCCAGGCAAUCACAGCACAUGUGCUGCAGGCUAGGCGAGGACAAGAGGGGAACCACAGGAACUCAGAGAAGAGGGGCCUUCUGGAGGAGGUGCUGCCGAAGCUGAGACCUGUAGGACAGGGGUGGCUUGCAGGCUACAGUGAUAAUCAUUCCAGUUCUGCUCUCCUUGUCCACCCUGCUGGUUGUCAGCUGCAUCUUAUGGAAAACAUGCCGCUGGUGGUCUCGGGUCAUCUACCCCACCCUGCAGUCCCCAGUCCACGUUCUGUUGGAUGUUAACUCAUCAACCCCUUGGGUCAAGGAAGCCCAUUCUGCAGCCCCUAUAACUGUGGCCCUGAGUGACUAUGGACCAAGGCUACCCUUGGACACACACUGUCGUCCACACUUCCCUGGGACCACCCCCUCCAGCCUGGUGGAGCCUCCACAGGGAACCUCACUAAGAAGCAAGAUAUCCACCUCCAGGGACUGGAUGAGAGCACUCCUGGCUUCACCCCAGCUGGGGCGUGGCUUACGAGUAUCACAUUACUCAGGACUUGCAGUCCUUAGAGUUUUCCACUUCUCAUGCAUUAAACACUCCCAUUGCCUGCACUUUCCUGAGGUCAUGGAGUUUCAGCUUAUCACAUGUUCUUGUGGGGGAACAUAUCCCUAAAGCCCCUGAUAGGCAAAGCUUGGCUGGCAUGGAAACUGCCAGGGCCCUGGACCCCUGCCCAGCCUGGAGCCCCCUUUCUCCAUCAUCUACUGCCUGAGCUCUGGGAUUCAGACGGGCAACGAAAUGAAGCAGUGAGUCUCACACAGCUAAUACAAAAGCCCAGAAUUUUCACCACUGCCCUAAGAUCUCAGGACCUCUGCUCUGUCUGCCAGCCACAGGCUAACAACUUCUUCCACCCAUCCAAUGAUACCGAAGUGUGUACCAUGUGCCAGGCAUGCCAGGUGCUGGGUUUAUAACAACAAAUGAGACCCAUACUAGCAAUCUAGUGGCUGGAACAGAACAAUGACAGAGUAUGAGAAGCACUUGGGUGGGGUACAGGAGUCUGUGCAGCAUAAAGGAGAGUCCACUAAACAGCCAGGAGAGGAUGGUUAAGGAAAGCUUCCAAGAAGUGGCUUCUAAACCGAGACCUGAAGGAUGACUAGGAAUUUGCUGGAAGCAAGGUGGGAGAGACAGUCCAGUCAGAGGGAACAUUAAGAGCAGUGUACGGGUUGGCAAACUUCCUGGUUUUAUAAAGUUUUAUUGAAACACAGUCAUGGUGAUACAUAGUGAUGUCAAUACAUAAAUACAUACAUUCACUUAUGUAUUGUCUCUGACUGCUUUCACUCUACACAGCAGAGUGAAACAGUUGUGACAGAAACGCUAGGGCUUGCAAAGCAUAAAAUACUACCUGGCCCUUGACAGGAAAAGUUUGCUGACUCCUAGAGGUCGAGAGCUUAUGCUGCCUUUUAGGGACACAGUGGCUAGGGGGUAGGGGCAGGAAAUGUGCACUAGGCAGUGCACAAUGAGUCCUUCUCCCCUAGCCAUAGUGGAUUGAUCCAGGAGUAGACACACCUGGUUUAAACUGACCUAAUCAGAUUCUCUCUUCCUAGUAAUUUGAAGUGUGGAACGAAAGACCCAGAAAUGGAGCCAAGUCACAUUAGUGUCUGUGAACCUCUCCUGCUGAGCCCCCAGUCUGGUUAAUCAACAAUUCCUUUGAUUCAGAAGACCCUUACAAUCAAUCCCCUGAAUUUCUAAUUUUCUUUUUUUUUUCAAAGUGCUAAGCAAGUACAGAGAGAUGCAAUAUCAAUAGAUUCAAAGAUGCAGUAUUUUUUAAAUUUUAGCUGAGUCAUCCAGCCACCUGUUGGCAGC